rnacentral:tRNA from 1 species
GGGGUUGUAGAUCAGUGGUAGAGUGCUUGCCUUGCAUGCAUGAGGCCCUGGGUACGAAUCUCAGCAUCUCAU